AAGACUAUGCUUUCAGGGAUCAUUUCUAUAGUUUCUGACUUGGAAGUUUGAUUUGAAAGUGUAACGUCUCUCUAACCACGAUGACGAGUUAAGAUGCUUUCUUCUGAGCGUGAAUCGGGUGGUGAGCGACGAGCGAGAUUGUCUGCUCUCUGUCGUUGAUGAAUGUUCCUGCUGUGCUUUGCAGUCUGGAAGAAGAAAGCAUGUUCAGAGUGGU
rnacentral:snoRNA from 1 species